rnacentral:rRNA from 1 species
AUACGUAGGUGACAAGCGUUAUCCGGAUUUACUGGGCGUAAAGGGCGUGUAGGCGGUCUUGCAAGUCAGAAGUGAAAUUCCUGAGCUCAACUCGGGCGCUGCUUCUGAAACUGCAGGACUUGAGUGCUGGAGGGGAUAGCGGAAUUCCUAGUGGAGCGGUAAAAUGCGCAGAUAUUAGGAAGAACACCGGUGGCGAAGGCGGCUAUCUGGACAGUAACUGACGCUGAGGCGCGAAAGCGGGGGGAGCAAACAGGAUUAGAUUCCCUGGUAGUCCACGCCGUAAACGAUGAGUACUAGCUGUCGGAGGUUACCCCCUUCGGUGGCGCAGCUAACGCAUUAAGUACUCCGCCUGGGAAGUACGCUCGCAAGAGUGAAACUCAAAGGAAUUGACGGGG